rnacentral:rRNA from 1 species
GAUGAACGCUGGCGGCGUGCCUAAUACAUGCAAGUCGAGCGAACAGAUAAGGAGCUUGCUCCUUUGACGUUAGCGGCGGACGGGUGAGUAACACGUGGGUAACCUACCUAUAAGACUGGGAUAACUUCGGGAAACCGGAGCUAAUACCGGAUAACAUUUGGAACCGCAUGGUUCUAAAGUGAAAGAUGGUUUUGCUAUCUCUUAUAGAUGGACCCGCGCCGUAUUAGCUAGUUGGUAGGGUAACGGCUUACCAAGGCAACGAUACGUAGCCGACCUGAGAGGGUGAUCGGCCACACUGGAACUGAGACACGGUCCAGACUCCUACGGGAGGCAGCAGUAGGGAAUCUUCCGCAAUGGGCGAAAGCCUGACGGAGCAACGCCGCGUGAGUGAUGAAGGGUUUCGGCUCGUAAAACUCUGUUAUUAGGGAAGAACAAACGUGUAAGUAACUGUGCACGUCUUGACGGUACCUAAUCAGAAAGCCACGGCUAACUACGUG